rnacentral:rRNA from 1 species
UCAAGCGCGAUAAGGGCGUUUGGUGGAUGCCUUGGCAGCAAGAGGCGAUGAAGGACGUGAUAAUCUGCGAUAAGCCUGGGGGAGCCGAUAAUAGGCCUUGAUCCCGGGAUCUCCGAAUGGGGCAACCCACCUGAUACUCGGUUAUUGAGAGCCGCAAGGUUCUCAUUAAUUGGGUAAACCAGGUACUUUUUUCCUGAAUACAUAGGGUUAAAAGAGCAAACCCGGGGAACUGAAACAUCUCAGUACCCGGAGGAAAGGAAAUCAACCGAUACUCCGUUAGUAGCGGCGAGCGAACGCGGACCAGCCGAGCCUUGAGAGUGAGUGGAACCAGUUGGGAAGCUGGGCAAUAUGGGUGACAGCCCCGUACACGAAGCUUGAUAGGACGUAUUAAGUAGGGCGGGACACGUGAAAUCCUGUCUGAAGAUCGGGGGACCACCCUCGAAGGCUAAGUACUCCUUGCUGACCGAUAGCGAACCAGUACCGUGAGGGAAAGGUGAAAAGCACCCCGACAAGGGGAGUGAAACAGUUCCUGAAACCGGACGCCUACAAACAGUCGGAGCAUUCUUCGGAAUGUGACGGCGUACCUUUUGUAUAAUGGGUCAACGACUUGGUCUUACGAGCAAGCUUAAGCCGAUAGGUGUAGGCGCAGCGAAAGCGAGUCUUAAUAGGGCGCAUGAGUUCGUGGGAUCAGACCCGAAACCAGGUGAUCUAGGCAUGUGCAGGCUGAAGGUGCGGUAACACGCACUGGAGGGCCGAACCCACACCCGUUGAAAAGGGUCGGGAUGACGUGUGCCUAGGGGUGAAAGGCCAAUCAAACCUGGAGAUAGCUGGUUCUCCGCGAAAUCUAUUUAGGUAGAGCGUCGAUUGAAUACCGCCGGGGGUAGAGCACUGGAUGGGUAAUGGGGACCCACAGUCUUACUGAUCCUAACCAAACUCCGAAUACCGGCGAGUACUGAUCGGCAGACACACGGCGGAUGCUAACGUCCGUCGUGGAGAGGGAAACAACCCUGAUCUGCAGCUAAGGCCCCUAAUUCAUGGCUAAGUGGGAAAGCAGGUGAGACGACCAAAACAACCAGGAUGUUGGCUUAGAAGCAGCCAUCAUUUAAAGAUAGCGUAACAGCUCACUGGUCUAGAUAAGUUGUCUUGCGGCGAAGAUGUACCGGGGCUCAAGCCAUGAGCCGAAGCUCGGAACUGCGCAAGCAGUGGUAGCGGAGCGUAGUGUUCAUAAACUCUUGCCUCUUUAUGGCCUUCGGGUCAUGCGGAGGCAUUGGGUUUUGCGAUGAAGUCGUCCUGUAAGGGGCGGUGGAGCGUUCACUAGCGAGAAUGUUGACAUGAGUAGCGACAAAGAGGGUGAGAGACCCUCUCGCCGAAAGUCCAAGGGUUCCUGCUUAAAGCUAAUCUGAGCAGGGUAAGCCGACCCCUAAGGCGAGGCCGAAAGGCGUAGUCGAUGGGAACCAGGUUAAUAUUCCUGGGCCAGGAGGAAGUGACGGUUCGCAAGUGUAGUUGACCCUUAUCGGAUUGGGUUGGCUGCUGAGCGGAUCCUGGAAAUAGCCCUCCAUGAGAUCGUACCCUAAACCGACACAGGUGGACAGGUAGAGCAUACCAAGGCGCUUGAGAGAACUACGUUGAAGGAACUCGGCAAAAUACCUCCGUAAGUUCGCGAGAAGGAGGCCCUGUCAGGAGGCAACUCUUGGCGGGGGGCACAAACCAGGGGGUGGCGACUGUUUACUAAAAACACAGGGCUCUGCGAAGCCGUAAGGCGACGUAUAGGGUCUGACGCCUGCCCGGUGCCGGAAGGUUAAAAGGAGGGGUGAGAGCUCCGAAUUGAAGCCCCGGUAAACGGCGGCCGUAACUAUAACGGUCCUAAGGUAGCGAAAUUCCUUGUCGGGUAAGUUCCGACCUGCACGAAUGGCGUAACGACUUCCCCGCUGUCUCCAACGUAGACUCAGCGAAAUUGAAUUCCCCGUGAAGAUGCGGGGUACCCGCGGUCAGACGGAAAGACCCCGUGCACCUUUACUACAGCUUCAGACUGGCAUUAGUCCUGUCAUGUGCAGGAUAGGCGGUAGGCUUUGAACCAGGGACGCCAGUCCUUGGGGAGCCAUCCUUGAGAUACCGCCCUUGAUACGAUUGAUGUCUAACCGCGGUCCGUUAUCCGGAUCCGGGACCCUCUGUGGCGGGUAGUUUGACUGGGGCGGUCGCCUCCUAAAGAGUAACGGAGGCGCGCGAUGGUGGGCUCAGGUUGGUCGGAAAUCAACCGUCGAGUGCAAUGGCAUAAGCCCGCCUGACUGCGAGACUGACAAGUCGAGCAGAGUCGAAAGACGGCCAUAGUGAUCCGGUGGUCCCAAGUGGGAGGGCCAUCGCUCAACGGAUAAAAGGUACGCCGGGGAUAACAGGCUGAUACUGCCCAAGAGUCCAUAUCGACGGCAGUGUUUGGCACCUCGAUGUCGGCUCAUCUCAUCCUGGGGCUGGAGCAGGUCCCAAGGGUACGGCUGUUCGCCGUUUAAAGAGGUACGUGAGCUGGGUUUAGAACGUCGUGAGACAGUUCGGUCCCUAUCUGCCGUGGGUGUUGGAGACUUGAGAGGAGUUGCCCCUAGUACGAGAGGACCGGGGUGAACGCACCACUGGUGGACCAGUUGUCGUGCCAACGGCAGUGCUGGGUAGCUAUGUGCGGACAGGAUAACCGCUGAAAGCAUCUAAGCGGGAAGCCCCCCUCAAAACCAGGUCUCCCUGAGGGCCGUGGAAGACCACCACGUCGAUAGGCCGGAGGUGUACGUGCAGCAAUGCACUCAGCUGACCGGUACUAAUUGCCCGAUAGGCUUGAUUUG